AUCAGAUCCACCUGAGACUGACUUGCCUUUUCUGGUUCCUCCAGGUGUUGCUGGGCAUCGGUCUGGCUCUGACGUAGACAGCUGCAGAAGAGGCGAGGGGCUGAACACACUCUGCCUAUGUCAUUCCUCGAUUGACCAAUGGGGUAAAAGCUAAGCUGCCAAGAAGUUUCCCUCCUUGGCUUGGCUCCAGGACGCAGCACUGAUCUUCUCAAAAAACAGAUACUGUAACAGUGACCUCUUCUGGUCAGCCUCGUGUAAAUGCUGCCAGCAGCUGAUUGGUUGGUGGGAAGCGUCGAAGAUCUCUAACAGACAUACUUCUGUCAAGAGCUCCUUUGGGCGGGACGAUGGGUAGCUGGCGAACUCGGCGGCCACAGACUGGCGUUCCUGAUGGGCUCGUCUGGUUCGAUCCACCAUGAGGAUUCGCCCUGUUGGACAAAGUCAGGAAUCAAACAGCCGACCUCACAGGGCUAAAGUCAAAGAGCAGAUGACUCCGAUCAACUGGAACCAUUCAGAAGAUCUGACAAUGAGAAUCCCCCUGAGGGUCUGUGAUAUAACCCCUGUGUGAGCUUUGACCCACCCGAUGGGUCGGGACACCACCAGCUCCACCUGUGGUUCUGGUUUAGAAUCCAGGAUGAUGUUAUAAACUUCAUUAAACGAGGCUCCCUGAAGAACCCGACCGUUCCACUCCAGAACCUGAUCACCUGAACCAUGGAGGGGGAGGAGAGGAGGAGGAUGAAGAUGGAGAAAAAGAAGAAGAAGAACAUUGAUUGGCUGGAAUUAAGAUGUAAUACACUCAUUGGCAUUUUCUCUCUCAGGGCCUAGUAGUAUCAUUUCAGUUUCAUUUUAAAACCUGUCAACAUGCCGACUACUGACCAAUCAGAUCUCUUAAAGAAAUGGAGUCAUCAUUAAGCAUCGACAUUUUAGGGAAUCAAAGAAACUUCAGUGUCAUUGACUCUUUGUCUGAGAUGGAUUACCUGGCCUCAGGUGUCCCACGGUGUCGGCCAGACUUCCUCUCUUUACCUUGGUGAUGAACGCACAGAGACGCCCAGACUCCGUCAUCUUCCCGCCAACAACCUGAAAACACACCGCCCAUGAGCAAGGCACCGAACUGAACACUGAUGUUCACAGUCAGGAGGAAGAGGAAGACGGGUUCAUCACCUUGAGUCCCAGCAGCGCUCCGGUAUCCGCUGGAACCGUCCCGUCCUUCAUCCUCUUGUUCAGUAGAAUGCGACCAAUCAGACGCUCUCCGUCCUUCGACGGUUGCCAUGUGACCGGAUGCUGAGGAGUCACAGUGUAAAUACAUGUGGUUGUUAAGCAGUUGUUCUGGUAAUUAAAGUUUUAAUUUCUAAAGGAACAAAUUGAAUCGUGGGGGGGUUGGCUCAGUCUUACCAUAGACAUGGGCGCAGGUUCG